AGAGUUUGAUCCUGGCUCAGGAUGAACGCUAGCGGGAGGCCUAACACAUGCAAGUCGAACGGGAUUGGUAGCAAUACCAUGAGAGUGGCGCACGGGUGAGUAACGCGUAUGCAACCUACCUAUAACCGGGACACAACCUCGAGAAAUUGUGGCUAAUAUCCCAUAACACUGCGAAGUGGCAUCAUUUUGCAGUUAAAACUCCGGUGGUUAUAGAUGGGCAUGCGCGACAUUAGCUAGUUGGUGAGGUAACGGCCCACCAAGGCUACGAUGUCUAGGGGUUCUGAGAGGAUUAUCCCCCACACUGGUACUGAGACACGGACCAGACUCCUACGGGAGGCAGCAGUAAGGAAUAUUGGUCAAUGGGCGCAAGCCUGAACCAGCCAUGCCGCGUGAAGGAUGACGGCCCUAUGGGUUGUAAACUUCUUUUGUACGGGAAAAAACCACCGGUCGUGUAUCGGUGCUGAUGGUACCGUAAGAAUAAGCAUCGGCUAACUCCGUGCCAGCAGCCGCGGUAAUACGGAGGAUGCAAGCGUUAUCCGGAUUCAUUGGGUUUAAAGGGUGCGCAGGCGGAAUAAUAAGUCAGCGGUGAAAGCCUACAGCUUAACUGUAGAACUGCCAUUGAUACUGUUAUUCUUGAGUGUUGUUGAGGUAGGCGGAAUGUGUCAUGUAGCGGUGAAAUGCUUAGAUAUGACACAGAACACCGAUCGCGAAGGCAGCUUACCAAGCAACAACUGACGCUCAUGCACGAAAGCGUGGGGAUCAAACAGGAUUAGAUACCCUGGUAGUCC
rnacentral:rRNA from 1 species